rnacentral:lncRNA from 13 species
UUUGAGGAAGUUUUUAUUUCCCAUUUUCUCCCUGCAGAUUAAGGGGAAUUUGUUUCAGAAAUAUGACUUUUUUUUUUUAGAGCACGAGAGAGAGAAAGUGGGAGAGAUAGAGUGUGAGAGAGAGAAUGGCCUGCCCCGGUGAGAGAUGACCUCCCCUCCUCCCCCUUGUCCACUUCCUGAUGUGGGACUUGAGUGCUGUAGUGGAGUCAUGGUGUGAGAGAGAGGUCAGUCCAUCACUUUCUAUCAGAGCCUGGACUUCAGAGCUCCCUUUGGUGGUGACAGUGAUGAACUUGCCGACCAGGGAGCAGUGUGAGGACUGGAGUUCAGCUCAGGUGGCCAGCUUACUGCGCCAGAAUCAAAUGCGAGAAUGUGCUGCAACUGUUGAAAGAAUGAGGAUUAACGGACAGAGGUUUAUGGUACGUUAUUUUGUUAUACACUCUCUCCCUUGACAUCUCAAUACUACCUGACUACUACUUCCAAUACUACCACAACAUUUUAUCACCAAACCACAGCAAACCCACAUGAUUCGAUAUCAACAGGUACAUAAUAACUUUUUGCUUUUGGCCAAAUUGAGUGUGGUGUCCUAAUGAUGUAAGAGUAGACAAUAGACUUGGACUCUAAAUUCCCUUCAAAUUCCUACGGCAAUUAUGGCGUUGAAAGGAGUGCAAUAAUUAAAAAUGUCCUAAUGCUAAUUUCAGCCAUAGGUUGCUGAAAUUAGUGGACAUUAUUUAUCCAUUCUCACUAAAUCCUAAAUCCUUAAUUAACUGGUAUUGUUCAUUUAGGGGAGACAAAAUCUGACAGGUUUGCAACAUCGUUGGUAAACAUGAGAUUUGCAAGACAAAAACUUCCAAUCCUUUCGAAAUGCAUAAUGGACAUAAUGGAUUUUCCAGCAGUAUGCUGAGUGUAUGAGACAGGGUAAAGCAACAGUCAAGUUGACAGAGUCUGGUGAAAGUUUACAGGAAGUGACCAAUUAUUAGUUAUUUUUUUAAAUCGCCACCCUUACUUCCCAGAAUGACAUAAAUAGUGAGGCAUCAAAUCAACUUCCACUUUGAGAAUACCACAGCGCAACAGGAAGUAGUAACACUGUGGGACAUUUCUCUCCAUUUCUCCCCACAUUAACAGACGUUUGUACAAAAAAAUCAUUUCUUGCUACGUGCUAUCGCUAGUCCCUACAUUGAGUGAACACCAACGCCAGAGUCUGGUUACCAUUAUCAAUUAGCUAUAACAAAAUAUUUACCAUUUGGUCUUUUGUUUUGGUAUCACCAACUAGGCCUACUCACCACCGCUGUUGAACAAGCUUCUAGGUAGGCCUCUUUCUUUGGUUUCUCCUGUGUUUUCAUUUGAUAUGAGAAACGCUAAUGUUUAAUACAAACAAUGCUUUUGUUUUCAGUAUUAAGUUAAGUAUUGGCUAUUGUAAUGUAAAGUGUGCGGUACCGUUAAGGUGUAGCCUAUAAUCACUGUUAGUGAAGGAUUUACCUGUUCGAAGGUGUGAACGGUUUAUUCACAGUGUUCUGCAUUCUGGGUGAGCCGCUUGUCUAGGUGGUGGGCCUGAUCUAGGUAACAUGCUGCAAAGUCAUUCGCCGCGGCAGUGACUAAGGAGUUCUUGUCGUCUAAGGGUUUUAUUUAUGUGAGCUUUGCUACUGUAUCUAGUUUUCGAUGCAUUAUUCAGUGACCCUGCACAGCUUUCAUUUGGAGGUAGGAUACCACAGCAGUACUACCUACGAGGGAUUUUGAUAAACUGAACAUUAACUUUCAAGUUGUCCGUCUAUGCCUCCAAGCUAGUUUUAACUCCCCCAAAUAAGGUCAAUGGGGAUUUCAAGGUGAAUCAAUCAAAGUCAUUAAUGUUUCAAAGGAUUCGCUUUUGAUGUGUGGGUUACCAGACCAGAUCUAAAACAUAGACCUACAUGUAUUGAUUGAUAUAGCAUUUAUUGAUCUAGUCAGAACACCUGGGUUCAGCUAAGACUCGUGUAACCCCAAGCUUCAUAGUUUGCAGCACUCUCUGCAAUGCCAACUUGCCAUAUUCAAGCUCUGGAGCUUUGAGGAUUAAACUCAAAAUGAGACAGACACAUUGUUCCCAGUCACUGCCCUAGUAUCCGUUCUCCCAUUCAGUUAGAGACUUAAAAAACGCUAAACUAGCUUUGGAACUAGAUCGUGUUCAAGAUGAUUCUCUACUACUAUUGUGACAACGCUUGACCCUGUUAUUGUAAACAGUGCAAAUCCCGGCAGCGACCAAGAGAAGAAUCAGGUGUGCAGCCGGGCGCAUGCACGCAAAAUGCACGCAAAAUAAUAAAUAAGAUUGAAAAAGCAAUGCUGAAAACAUUUUC